UGGGGGAUAUUGCACAAUGGGCGAAAGCCUGAUGCAGCGACGCCGCGUGGGGGAUGAAGGCCUUCGGGUUGUAAACUUCUUUUGCUCUGAACAAGGCGCACCAUGGGGUGUGUUGAGUGUAGGGGUUGAUUAGCGCCGGCUAACUACGUGCCAGCAGCCGCGGUAAUACGUAGGGCGCGAGCGUUGUCCGGAAUUAUUGGGCGUAAAGGGCUUGUAGGUGGCUUGUUGCGUCUGUCGUGAAAGCUCAUGGCUUAACUGUGGGUUUGCGGUGGGUACGGGCUGGCUUGAGUGCAGUAGGGGAGGCUGGAAUUCCUGGUGUAGCGGUGGAAUGCGCAGAUAUCAGGAGGAAUACCGGUGGCGAAGGCGGGUCUCUGGGCUGUUACUGACACUGAGGAGCGAAAGCAUGGGGAGCGAACAGG
rnacentral:rRNA from 1 species